AGUGACCGGGAAGAGCUCAAAUUUGAAAUCUGGCGUCCUCAGGGCGUCCGAGUUGUAAUCUAUAGAAACGUUUUCCGUGCUGGACCGUGUCCAAGUCCCUUGGAACAGGGUAUCAAAGAGGGUGACAAUCCCGUACUUGACACGACCACCAGUGCUCUGUGAUACGUUUUCUACGAGUCGAGUUGUUUGGGAAUGCAGCUCUAAAUGGGUGGUAUACUCCAUCUAAAGCUAAAUAUUGGUGGAAGACCGAUAGCGAACAAGUACCGUGAGGGAAAGAUGAAAAGCACUUUGGAAAGAGAGUUAAACAGUAUGUGAAAUUGUUGAAAGGGAAACGAUUGAAGUCAGUCGUGUCUAUUGAGUUCAGCCAGUUCUGCUGGUGUAUUCUCUUUAGACGGGUCAACAUCAGUUCUGAUCGGUGGAUAAAGGCAGGAGGAACGUAGCUCUCUUCGGGGAGUGUUAUAGCCUCUUGUCGCAUACACUGGUUGGGACUGAGGAAUGCAGCUCGCCUUUAUGGCCGGGGUUCGCCCACGUUCGAGCUUAGGAUGUUGACAUAAUGGCUUUAAACGACCCGUCUUG
rnacentral:rRNA from 1 species